AAGGUUUCCGUCUGCUCUGUGCAGAGGGAGUGGAGCUGCGAGGGCUUGUGGCUUCGCAGUUCCUCUUCUGUGAACAGCCGAGAUCACGCGCUCCUCCCCAGCCAUCCGUUCCUCCCCGCAGUCCUUCCCCUCCACUCCGUUCCCCUUCUCUGCUCACGCAGGGAGCCCAGGAAGCCUCCGCCUCAGAGAUGCUACCGCUACUGCUGCCCCUGCUGUGGGCAGGUGAGUGGGCCAGGGGAGAGGUGCCGUGGGGCUGGGCCGAGCUGACCCUCAUGUCUCCAUAGGGGCCUUGGCUCAGGAGCGGAGAUUCCAGCUGGAGGGGCCAGAGUCACUGACGGUGCAGGAGGGUCUGUGCGUCCUCGUACCCUGCAGAUGGCCCACUCCCUCUUCAGCCUUGUACGAUUAUGGCUACUGGUUCCUGGAAGGGGCUGAUGUUCCAGUGGCCACAAAUAACCCAAAUGAAGAAGUGCAGGAGGAGACCCGGGGCCGAUUCCACCUCCUCUGGGAUUACAGAAGGAAGAACUGCUCCCUGAGCAUCACAGAUGCCCGGAGGAGGGACAAUGCUGCAUACUUCUUUCGGUUGAAGUCGAAAUGGAUGAAAUACGGUUAUACAUCUUCCAAGCUCUCUGUGCGUGUGAUGGCCCUGACCCACAGGCCCAACAUCUCCAUCCCAGGGACCCUGGAGUCUGGCUGUUCCAGGACCCUGACCUGCUCUGUGCCCUGGGCCUGUGAGCAGGGGACGCCCCCCAUCUUCUCCUGGAUGUCAGCUGCCCCCACCUCUCUGGGCCCCAGGACCACCCAGUCCUCAGUGCUCACGAUCACCCCACGGCCCCAGGACCACAGCACCAACCUCACCUGUCAGGUGACGUUCCCUGGAGCCGGUGUGACUGUGGAGAGAACCAUCCAGCUCAAUGUCUCCUAUGCUCCACAGAAAGUGGCCGUCAGCAUCUUCCAAGGAAACAGCGCAGCCUUCAAAAUCCUGCAAAACACCUCGUCCCUCCCCGUCCUGGAGGGCCAGGCUCUGCAGCUGCUCUGCGAUGCUGACGGCAACCCCCCUGCACACCUGAGCUGGUUCCAGGGCUUCCCUGCCCUGAACGCCACCCCCAUCUCCAAUACCGGGGUCCUGGAGCUGCCUCAAGUAGGGUCUGCAGAAGAAGGAGAUUUCACCUGCCGUGCUCAGCAUCCUCUGGGCUCCCUGCAAAUCUCUCUGAGUCUCUUUGUGCAUUGUGAGUGUGAGGGGAGGUGCUCGAGAGUGUGGGCAGCUGGGCGAGAGCUCCAUAGUAUUCAGAGAAGAGGCCCCUGCUAAGUCCUGUCCUCCCUUCCCAGACCCCUCACAACUGCUGGGACCCUCCUGCCUCUGGGAGGCUUAGAGUCCACACUGCAGUGGCUCCUCCCUGCACUGGCAGCUUGGGGAGGGGAUGCUGGAGGGAU
rnacentral:sRNA from 1 species